rnacentral:rRNA from 1 species
CCUACGGGGGGCAGCAGUAGGGAAUCUUCCGCAAUGGACGAAAGUCUGACGGAGCAACGCCGCGUGAGUGAAGAAGGUUUUCGGAUCGUAAAACUCUGUUGUUGGAGAAGAACAAGUAGGAGAGUAACUGCUCUUACCUUGACGGUACCCAACCAGAAAGCCACGGCUAACUACGUGCCAGCAGCCGCGGUAAUACGUAGGUGGCAAGCGUUGUCCGGAUUUAUUGGGCGUAAAGCGAGCGCAGGCGGUUCCUUAAGUCUGAUGUGAAAGCCCACGGCUCAACCGUGGAAGGUCAUUGGAAACUGGGGAACUUGAAUGCAGAAGAGGAGAGUGGAAUUCCAUGUGUAGCGGUGAAAUGCGUAGAUAUAUGGAGGAACACCAGUGGCGAAGGCGACUCUCUGGUCUGUAAUUGACGCUGAGGCUCGAAAGCG